rnacentral:rRNA from 1 species
AACGCGAAGAACCUUACCAAGGCUUGACAUCCCAAUGACGGGUGUAGAGAUACGCCGUCCCUUCGGGGCAUUGGAGACAGGUGGUGCAUGGUUGUCGUCAGCUCGUGUCGUGAGAUGUUGGGUUAAGUCCCGCAACGAGCGCAACCCUUAUCUUUAGUAGCCAUCGGGAAAGCCGGGCACACUAGAGAGACUGCCGUGGAUAACACGGAGGAAGGCGGGGAUGACGUCAAAUCAUCAUGCCCCUUAUGUCUUGGGCUACACACGUACUACAAUGGCUGUAAACAAAGUGAAGCAAGCAUGUGAAUGCAAGCAAAACACAGAAAAGCAGUCCCAGUUCGGAUUGCAGUCUGCAACUCGACUGCAUGAAGUUGGAAUCGCUAGUAAUCGCGGAUCAGCAUGCCGCGGUGAAUACGUUCCCGGGUCUUGUACACACCG